rnacentral:rRNA from 1 species
GUCCCAACGGUGUAAGCAUAGCUUGCUCUGUGGAUCAGUGGCGAACGGGUGAGUAACACGUGUAGCAACCUGCCCUGGUACUCUGGGAUAAGCGCUGGAAACGGCGUCUAAUACUGGCUAUGAGAUGCGAUCGCAUGGACGUGUUUGGAAAGAUUUUUCGGUCUGGGAUGGGCUCGCGGCCUAUCAGUUUGUUGGUGAGGUAAUGGCUCACCAAGGCGUCGACGGGUAGCCGGCCUGAGAGGGUGACCGGCCACACUGGGACUGAUACAUUUGCCAGUACUCCUACGGGACGCAGCAGUGGGGAAUAUUGCACAAUGGUGCGAAAGCCUGAUGCAGCAACGCCGCGUGAGGGAUGACGGCCUUCGGGUUGUAAACCUCUUUUGGUUUGGAAGAAGCCUUCGGUCUGACGGUACCUGCUGAAAAAGCUUCGGUUAACUACAUGCCAGCAGCCUUGGUAAUACUUUAGGGUGUUACGCGUUUAUCCGGGAAUUAUUGGGCGUAAAGAGCUCGUUAGGCGUGUCUGUUCGUCGUCCUGCCUGUGAAAUCCCGAAGGCUCAAACCUCUGGCCUUGCAUUGGGUUCGGGGCCGAACCAGGAUGUGCCGGUUGGGGCAGAAUUGGAAUUCCUUGGUUGUUAGUGGUUGGGAAAUGCGGCUGUAUAUCCAGGAGGAACACCGGAUUGGUCGUAAGGCUUAAUUUUCUUGGGCCCGUCCACUGACUUUUGAGGAGCUCAAAGGGCCGGGGUAGCAACACUUGUCCUCUACAUCACCCUUGGUGGUCCCCCCCCUCAAACCGUUGGCAACUUAUUGUGGGGUUCCUUUCUCAACGGGAUCUGUGUCGUUUCUGCCUUAUUAAGUUUCUCGUCUUGGGUAAUUUGGUUGCAUGGGCUCAACUUAAUCGAAUUGGACCGGGUAUUCGCUAAACCGGAGCAUAUGCGUAUCUAUUCCCUGGUAUCUUGAAUAUUUUACCUAUUUUGCUCAUUAUCAAAUUUGCCUAAAUGGCUUAUCUUCUGCUUCUG